AGUUACCCCAGCUGGGCAUGGUGGUAUACACCUGUAUUCCCAGCUCUGGAGGCUGAGGCAGGAGGAUCACAAGUUCAAGGUCAGCCUGGGAAACUUAGCUAGAGCCUAUCUCAAAAAUUUAAAAAAGGCUGGGAUAUAGCUAGCUCAGAGGUAAACCAUUCUCUCAGUUCAAUCCCCAGUACCAAAACAAAAUAAAAACCUACACAGCCACAGUUCUGUCAUUAUUAAAAAAAUAAAAUUAUCUUUUCACAUAGAAUUUCUCAUUGUUUCCAUCCCAUGUGGAUGGAUUAAUAAUAUUCUUAAUAAUAAAAGUCAGUAUGGACCACAUCCAAAUAAGGAGUAUUAAAAAGCCUUCCCUUUGGAUUUACUCUUAAUAUUUAUUAUUCACAUGAGAGCAUACUUAAAAUAUAUAGUAUCAAGUUACUAAAAUGUAGGUUAAAAUAUCAUUUGCAAUGGUGCCUCUUUUAGAGGAACAAGUUUUUUUAAAUUUUUUUUAAUUGUAUACGGACACAAUAUCUUUAUUUAUUUUUAUUUGGUGCUGAGGAUUGAACCCAGUGUCUCACAUGUGAGAGUCAGGCUCUCUACCACUGAGCUACAGCCCCAGCCCAAAGGAACAAGUUUUUUAUGGGAAAAUAUUUAUGGCCUCUGAAAUUAGUUCUAAUUAGAGUGAUAGUCUAUUAAUGUUUUAAGGCAUUAAGACUUAAGUGAGCAGUCUUGGGAUGAAUUAAUCUCUGGAAAAUGACAUCAAAAUGUAGGCUCAACAUCAACUGGACCAUUUUUGAACUGCUUUGGGUAACCUGAUAGAUAUUCUUUAUUAUCAAGAUUCCUUUGUUUCAUUACUUCUAAAAUUUUUCAAAAUUUCAAGGCACUUACAAAACACUUAGCUUGUUCUGGGAUAUUUUUUGUGAGUAGAUGGUAUGCAAACAAAAGGUAGAGUGACAGAUGCCAACUAUACAUUUUGCAAAAACAUCUUAUGCAUGUGUAAGCAGAGAAUUGGAUAACAUGAAAAGAGAUGUCUUAUACAGGUGGCACAUGGGAACAGGACAGGUCUUCUAAACUGGAUGGGCCUAUAAAAACAGGUGUCCUGAGCAUGUGUACAUCUGUUACACCUGUUCUUCUACAAAGAAAUUCCCUCUUAAAAUUUGAAUAGAUCUUCAGAAUCAGAUUCCAAGGUUGGCUGAGCUUAGUUCAGUUUUCCAUUAGUUUAAGAGAGACUAUGGGCACCUGAAU
rnacentral:lncRNA from 1 species